GUACGGGGAAUCUGGUUUAAAGGGCCGCAUAGGGUUGUUGGAUUUCAGAAGUGCUAUAUGCCAAAAUGGUCCUGCCCUCUGGUGUUUUAUGUCUGGCCCCUGUCUGUACAUAGUGGUUGGAAAAUAUUGUUUAACGCUUAUAUAAUAAUAAUAAUACUAAGACUAAUAGUUGGUCACGGUAAAUAUUAGACUAAAAUUUAGCGAUAAUAAUGCUAGGUUUCGUCGAAGGAAAAUAGAAUCGUUAGAAGCAAGCGCUGCCCGAUUUUGGAAUCAUCACCUUAACAAAUGAACGUUGUUAUACAUGUUUUCAAUGAUUUAAACCACAAAGGGAGGGAACGCAAGGGGGACAGCACUAAGAAAUCGGAAAAGGGGUCAAAGGAAGGGACACAUCUUGAUAGGGCAACAACCGGGUAUAGGAUAUGGAAAGAGAUCAACAUGUUUUCUCGAACGAACAGAUUUACACCGUCAAUGACAGCGCACCAAGGGAACAACGGACAAUCACGGCAAAGGCAAGCACGAAUGCUGCUGCCUACGAGACCUAUCUAGAAGACCUUUCCUAGCUCUACUUUCUUUCUUAUACCAGGAAGCCUUUCGCUUGUCCCUUCGCACGUGAAUCUUGAUAUCCCGGCUAGAGAGCUUUGAUUUCUUCUUUCCUUGGGGUUCCUUCCCUCACUUGUUACCAGCAACUCUUCCUUUACACCUGAGAACAACCUAAUCUUUUCACAGCGGAAGAGUCGAAACGGACUGUAUAUGUAUUUUAUAUCUACGAAAAUGUUGGGGUAAAACAUGGGUAGAUGCAAUAGGUGAUGAGUGAUAAAAUGAUGAGAGGCCUCGAUGUUGAUGUUGUUGAUUCUGUCAUCUAGCGGAGUAUGGAUGACGACCACAGACUCUUCUAGACAGUCUAGUGGAACACUAGCAGGCUCGCAACCUGUAGGUGUUUGUGAACGAUAUGUUCACCGGUGUACUCCAUCCCCCACAUGGUUGCCUUUAGGACAUUUAUUGCUGAGGAAUCCCCUUAGCAGUAGUGUCCGUCCCGAUGAUGAUCCUUAGGCUAGGUCCCUUAUGAUAGGUGUUUAGGGACGUAAAGUGAGGAUAACGGGAACGGGUAAUCGGGUUAUUGUUGAUCGAUGAAAUUAAUAAACUUAUUUAUUGUGGGUUGAAAACCCUAUGUGCUCACCAGGCUCCCAAGCCUGACCCACUCAGUUUUAUGUAUUAUAGGUAGUGGCGCAUGAGCAUAGGUGUGAUGUUUUGGACGAGGGAUUACGGAUAUAGGCCUGUAGAUAUGAAAUAAUGUAGUAAGGCUUAUAUUGUACUGUUUAUGCUUUUGAUCUGUACGAACAUGACAUCCCGAGUCUUUUAAUGAAAUGCAUUUCUAUGGAAAUGCUUUUGAUAAAUCUUUAUCA